rnacentral:rRNA from 1 species
UACGUAGGGUGCGAGCGUUGUCCGGAAUUAUUGGGCGUAAAGGGCUCGUAGGCGGUUUGUCGCGUCGGGAGUGAAAACACUGGGCUUAACUCAGUGCUUGCUUCCGAUACGGGCAGACUAGAGGUAUUCAGGGGAGAACGGAAUUCCAGGUGUAGCGGUGAAAUGCGUAGAUAUCUGGAGGAACACCGGUGGCGAAGGCGGCAUCCUGGACCGAGAUUGACGCUGAGGCGCGAAAGCCAGGGGAGCAAACGGG